UGAACGCUGGCGGUAUGCUUAACACAUGCAAGUCGAACGGAAACGAUACUAGCUUGCUAGUAGGCGUCGAGUGGCGGACGGGUGAGUAACGCGUAGGAAUCUGCCUGAUAGUGGGGGAUAGCCCGAAGAAAUUCGGAUUAAUACCGCAUAAUCUAUUCGUAGUAAAGUGGGGGACUUUCGAGCCUCACGCUAUCAGAUGAGCCUGCGUAAGAUUAGCUUGUUGGUAGGGUAAAAGCCUACCAAGGCGACGAUCUUUAGCUGGUCUGAGAGGAUGAUCAGCCACAUCGGGACUGAGACACGGCCCGAACUCCUACGGGAGGCAGCAGUGGGGAAUAUUGGACAAUGGGGGCAACCCUGAUCCAGCAAUACCGCGUGUGUGAAGAAGGCCUGAGGGUUGUAAAGCACUUUCAAUUGUGAAGAAAAGUUAGCGGUUAAUAACCGUUAGCCUUGACGUUAACUUUAGAAGAAGCACCGGCUAACUCCGUGCCAGCAGCCGCGGUAAUACGGAGGGUGCAAGCGUUAAUCGGAAUUACUGGGCGUAAAGCGUGCGUAGGCGGUUUAUUAAGUCAGAUGUGAAAGCCCCGGGCUUAACCUGGGAACUGCAUUUGAAACUGGUCAACUAGAGUAUGGUAGAGGAAAGUGGAAUUUCUGGUGUAGCGGUGAAAUGCGUAGAUAUCAGAAGGAACAUCAAUGGCGAAAGGCAGCUUUCUGGACCAAUACUGACGCUGAGGUACGAAAGCGUGGGUAGCAAACAGGAUUAGAUACCCUGGUAGUCCACGCCGUAAACGAUGAUAACUAGCCGUUGGGGGGAUUUACCCUUUAGUGGCGAAGCUAACGCGUUAAGUUAUCCGCCUGGGGGGUACGGCCGCAAGGUUAAAACUCAAAGGAAUUGACGGGGACCCGCACAAGCGGUGGAGCAUGUGGUUUAAUUCGAUGCAACGCGAAGAACCUUACCUGGUCUUGACAUCCUGCGAACUUCCUAGAAAUAGAUUGGUGCCUUCGGGAACGCAGUGACAGGUGCUGCAUGGCUGUCGUCAGCUCGUGUCGUGAGAUGUUGGGUUAAGUCCCGUAACGAGCGCAACCCCUAUCCUUAUUUGCCAGCACAUCAUGGUGGGAACUAUAAGGAGACUGCCGGUGAUAAACCGGAGGAAGGCGGGGACGACGUCAAGUCAUCAUGGCCCUUACGACCAGGGCUACACACGUGCUACAAUGGGAAGGACAAAGAGCCGCGAAGCCGCGAGGUGUAGCUAAUCUCAUAAACCUUUUCGUAGUCCGGAUUGGAGUCUGCAACUCGACUCCAUGAAGUCGGAAUCGCUAGUAAUCGUAGAUCAGAAUGCUACGGUGAAUACGUUCCCGGGUCUUGUACUCACCGC
rnacentral:rRNA from 1 species